UAAUUCUGCUGCUUAAAUAAGCAAGACUGCUUCAGAGAAUGUACAAGUAGUCAACAACAAUGUCCACUGAAAUGAUGAAGUGAAGAACAAAUCUUAAGGCAUGAAACCUUUGCCUUCAAUAUCUGAUACAGUUGAAGCUAUAUCCACUAAAAUCACAUAAAAAGUGCCAAAUGAUGCUAGUCCUAAGAUUUUAUCUGCCAUCUAAAUUAGCUUCUUCUUUUGGAAAUAUCGCUUCAGAUACAAAAUUUGUAAAACUGCUGCCAUGAUGCAGACUCCCAAGGAUGCAAGACUAAAGCUAGCCACCCGCGUAUUAGUUAUUUCACUAACUGCCCGCAUCUCUGCUUCUCUGGUCUUUAAGUAUAUCAAAUUUUCAUGAAUGGCCUCCACAGCUCCCUCAAGCUUUCUCAGCUCAAGUUCAAUACCCUCUAUCUUCUCCUUUCUGGCAACUGAAUCCCAAUCCUUGGCAGCAAUUCCGGUUUUCCAGUCAAGGCCAACAUUUAAGCUCUUACCUCCUGGAUUAUGACCAUCUUCAACCCAAAAACAAGCUAGAUAGUUGCCAGCCUCAGUUGUUGUGAAGGCAAACUGACCAUGUGUCAAGUUCUCUUUGUGAUGAAGGGUGUUCCCAAAUGGUGAGGUGACCUUGACGGAAAGUGUGGGGCUGGGAUGGGUAUGAUCAUCGGGAAGGGCAUAGUAAUCAGCCAAAACGACGACGUUGUUGUGAAGUUCUUCAGAAACACACUUGGUUCCAAUGGAGGGAACAGUCAACCAUAUAGCUUGUCCCUUGUGCAAUAAACAGAGUAGCAUCAAGAAUAUCCAUCGCCUCAUGCUCAUGUCACCCAUCAUUCCCUUCUACUUGAAGAAUUUUGACUGACAGAGCUUAGGGAUCUUCAAUUAUGGAGAAG
rnacentral:misc_RNA from 1 species